AUACUUACCUGGCAGGGGAGAUACCAUGAUCAUGAAGGUGGUUCACCAGGGCGAGGCUCAGCCAUUGCGCACUUCGGUUGUGCUGACCCAUUGCGAAUUCCCCAAAUGUGGGAAUCUCGACUGCAUAAUUUGUGGUAGUGGGGACUUUGCGUCCGCGCUCACUA